rnacentral:misc_RNA from 1 species
AAGUCGUAACAAGGUUUCCGUAGGUGAACCUGCGGAAGGAUCAUUACCUUUCAGUACAGAAGCGUUGUGUUGGUUGAGUUGUGCCGGUUGAGUCUCGCUGAGAGGUGGGACUCCUGGUGGCAACUCCCUUCAUAAUUCUCCCUGUCUAUCAUCCUUGUCUUUUGCGUACUAUUGUUUCCUCGGUGGGCUUGCCUGCCGGUUGGACAACCUUAUAACCUAUUUAAUUUUCAAUCAGCGUCUGAAAUAAUAUAAUAAUUACAACUUUCAACAACGGAUCUCUUGGUUCUG